ensembl:lncRNA
GGGGAGACGGCAACGAGGCGCGAGCAACCCGAGCCUGCACAAACCGUAACGGAGAAACGCCGAGCGGCCAGCGUGAGAGGGAGCGUGUGUUUAAGGGAGAGAGUGAGAGAGAGAGAGACGUAGCAUCGCACGGGGUCGGAUUAGACAAGAGCUGUUCUCUGUUUGACAUUUGGAGCCACGCAUGCUGAGAAUUACGCACGGGAGAUGGGCUUGUGACAGCGAACCAAUCCUUUUUCUUUUUUGUGAUAAACGAUCCGACCUGUUUUUAAUUAUUCUGCAUCUCAACUGGCGGCAUCACACUCUCAGAGACAUUUAACACUGCCUACUUUGGAACCGUUUUGGAAUUAAAAACAAUCAUUAAUAUUUUGUGCCGGGCCGAAUUGAUUUGUGUGAGAAUGGGGACGACGAGGUUAUGCGUGCUACAGAGUGAUUGCAAGGCACCGCAUUUCGCACCUGCUCUCUAACCCUCGCCCCCCCCCCCCCAAGACCCUGACGUCUACACUGUAACGGAGUGGACUGCCCAAGAAGAUUUGACCGAGUCAGCCGUCUAGCCUCCCGCGUGAGUCACCGCGAACAAAUAUUUAGACACCGGCUCUUACGCACUACACGCUUUUCCAAAGUCCCCACAAACACAAACACAGCUCAACUCAACUCAACCGGCGGGAUAAUACGAGCCCUGCAGCACAGCGCACCGUCAACCACGGUACCGGACCGGACAGGACCGCACCAAGGCUCGCGCAGACCGGGGUGUUGGAUAUCGACCUGCUAAAUGCCCAGCCGGUCGCACGCGGCUCCACAGGCUGGGCGGCGAAAUGAGCUCGUGGGUCGUCCGACUCCUGCUACUGCUGGGUGCGCUCGCGGCGGCACAUGUGCGGCUCCGCAGCUCUGAGGGCGACCCCCUACCCAGCUACCUGGUGGAGCUGGUGUGGAACAGCCCCAUCGCCUCCAUCGACGACCUCAGGCAUCUGUUUAGGCUAGAGGCCGGAGAACUCACAGGUACACACACACACACAAACACGCACACACACGCCCACAAACACGCACACACACGCACACACGCAUACACAUGCACACACACACGCACACACACGCACACACACACACACGCACACAUACACACACACACGUACACACACGCACAC